CCUACGGGAGGCAGCAGUGGGGGAUAUUGCACAAUGGGGGAAACCCUGAUGCAGCGACGCCGCGUGUGGGAAGACGGUCCUCUGGAUUGUAAACCACUGUCCCCAGGGACGAAGAUGAAGGAACCUGGGGAGGAAGCUCCGGCAAACUACGUGCCAGCAGCCGCGGUAAUACGUAGGGAGCAAGCGUUGUCGGGAAUUACUGGGUGUAAAGGGAGCGUAGGCGGGAUGGCAAGUUGGGUGUUAAAUCUACCGGCUCAACUGGUAGUCGCACGCAAAACUGGUAUUCUUGAGUGAAGUAGAGGCAGGCGGAAUUCCUGGUGUAGCGGUGAAAUGCGUAGAUAUUAGGAGGAACACCAGUGGCGAAGGCGGCCUGCUGGGCUUUUACUGACGCUGAGGCUCGAAAGUGUGGGGAGCAAACAGGAUUAGAUACCCCUGUAGUC
rnacentral:rRNA from 1 species